ACGUUGAAAUAACGGUUCUCGUCCGAUCACCGAAGUUAAGCAACGUCGUGCCUGGUCAGUACCUAGAUGGGUGACCGCUUGGGAAUACAGGUACUGUAA
rnacentral:rRNA from 1 species